rnacentral:lncRNA from 1 species
GUCUCGGGUGGGGUGCGGCUUCCUGCGUCUGAGAGACGCUUCCUCUCCUGCUGUCCUCUCCCUGCCAGGCCCCUUCUGCAGCGGCUGGCUUCCAGACACCCUGCGUCCCUCCCUUGCUCGCAGCAGUUGCUGUGGCGGUCCUCCCGUGCACCCCCCCUUCUGCCCUCACUGCCCCUGGGGGUCCUCAUCACGGACCCCCUAACUCGGCAUCCUGGACACCACCACCCCGCACCUUUCCACAGUGCAGCUCUGCUCGUGCCUGUGAAGCCUCCCACAGCCUGGGAAGGAAAAUCCAGACUUGCCAGACCUUGCCUCAGCCAGGCCUUGGAAGCCUGCCAGCUUACCUAACCAGGCUAGUCUGCCCCCCUCACUCUGGGUGCUCUCCAUGGGCCACUCACCAUUUCCUGAGCAGGACCAGAGCUCUCCUGCCCCAAGGCUGGGCUUCAGCUGCUCUUUCAGCUUUGAACGUCCUUUCCCAUUCUCCAUCAUCCACAUUCACCUAUCCUGCCUGCCCCAGUUAAAAUCCUGUUUCUUCUAGGAAGUCCCUCAUCCCACCCGCUUACCCCAGGGAGACUGAGCUUGUUCCUUCUCCUAGUAAGACCCUCAGCCCAUGGAGUCCUGUGUGAUGUUGUGAGCGUGGGAGGACAGACUGAACUGCUCGGCCCGUGGAGUCCUGUGUGAUGUUGUGAGCGGGGAGGACAGACUGAACUGCGUGGUGCUUCGCACAUAGACCUCAACAGGGAUUGGCAUUUUGAAGCUGUUGGCGGGGGCUGUGGACUGCUUUUCUUCCUUUCUAGCUCAACGGCAGCUAAAGCCACUGCAUACAAUGCAAGGACUGGCUCCUGUUUGGCCACGACUGAUUGCAGCCCCUGGUGAAAUGAGAACCCUGUGGGUCGGAACAAAGUUUGGAUUAUUUAUGUUGCAAGUAACUAAAAUCUCAAGUGAAACUGGUUUAAACA